rnacentral:rRNA from 1 species
UACAGAGGUCUCAAGCGUUGUUCGGAUUCAUUGGGCGUAAAGGGUGCGUAGGCGGCGCGGUAAGUCGGGUGUGAAAUUUCGGAGCUUAACUCCGAAACUGCAUUCGAUACUGGCGUGCUUGAGGACUGGAGAGGAGACUGGAAUUCAUGGUGUAGCAGUGAAAUGCGUAGAUAUCGUAAGGAAGACCAGUGGCGAAGGCGGGUCUCUGGACAGUUCCUGACGCUGAGGCACGAAGGUCAGGGGAGCAAACGGG